rnacentral:rRNA from 1 species
UACGAAGGGGGCUAGCGUUGUUCGGAAUACUGGGCGUAAAGCGUGCGCAGGCGGCUUCUCAAGUCAGGGGUGAAAGCCCAGAGCUCAACUCUGGAAUUGCCUUUGAGACUGAGAGGCUUGAGUACGGGAGAGGUGAGUGGAAUUCCCAGUGUAGAGGUGAAAUUCGGUAGAUAUUGGGAAGAACACCGGUGGCGAAGGCGGC